rnacentral:piRNA from 1 species
UGGCUGAAGGUGUCACCUGUUAAAGCC